rnacentral:misc_RNA from 1 species
GACGUGGGUGGAAACCCUCGGCUCGGUCUUGGGCAUGAGGGAUCAAAACCCUCGGCCUGCAAUCCAGCGGCAGACUCCCUGCGUAGCAGUAGCGUGAUAGAAUCGUCAAUCGCGAUGCGCGACGGCGACGUCUAGCCAUAACCCCCAAAUCUGUCAUCAAUUUUGACCUCGGAUCAGGUAGGGAUACCCGCUGAACUUAA